rnacentral:rRNA from 1 species
AACGAACGCUGGCGGCAUGCCUAACACAUGCAAGUCGAACGAGACCUUCGGGUCUAGUGGCGCACGGGUGCGUAACGCGGGGGAACCUGCCCUUAGGUUCGGAAUAACUCCCCGAAAGGGGUGCUAAUACCGGAUAAUGUCUUCGGACCAAAGAUUUAUCGCCUUUGGAUGGGCCCGCGUUGGAUUAGCUAGUUGGUAGGGUAAAAGCCUACCAAGGCGACGAUCCAUAGCUGGUCUGAGAGGAUGAUCAGCCACACUGGGACUGAGACACGGCCCAGACUCCUACGGGAGGCCGCAGUGGGGAAUAUUGGACAAUGGGCGACCGCCUGAUCCCGCCAUGCCGCGUGAGUGAUGAAGGCCUUAGGGUUGUACAGCUCUUUUACCCGGGAUGAUCAUGACAGUACCGGGAGAAUAAGCUCCGGCUCACUCCG